rnacentral:rRNA from 1 species
UGGGGGAUUUUGCACAAUGGGCGCAAGCCUGAUGCAGCGACGCCGCGUGAGGGAUGAAGGCCUUCGGGUUGUAAACCUCUUUCGCUGGGUUGAAAGGCCAUGCUUUGGGUGUGGUUGAUUUGAACUGGUAAAGAAGUACCGGCUAACUACGUGCCAGCAGCCGCGGUAAUACGUAGGGUACUAGCGUUGUCCGGAUUUAUUGGGCGUAAAGGGCUUGUAGGUGGUUUGUCGCGUCUGUCGUGAAAUCCUGUGGCUUAACCAUGGGCUUGCGGUGGGUACGGGCAGGCUUGAGUGCGGUAGGGGAGAAUGGAAUUCCUGGUGUAGCGGUGGAAUGCGCAGAUAUCAGGAGGAACCCCGGUGGCGAAGGCGGGUCUCUGGGCCGUUACUGACACUGAGGAGCGAAAGCGUGGGGAGCGAACAGG